rnacentral:misc_RNA from 1 species
GGCUGCUCCACCUGCUAGGGCGCGUGCCGACUACGAUUACCUCAUAAAGUUGCUGCUGAUCGGCGACAGCGGUGUUGGUAAGAGUUGCCUUCUGUUGCGAUUCUCUGAUGGUUCCUUCACCACGAGCUUCAUUACCACCAUCGGCAUUGAUUUUAAGAUCAGAACAAUUGAGCUUGAUGCCAAACGGAUCAAACUGCAAAUUUGGGACACAGCUGGCCAAGAACGCUUUCGAACUAUCACCACCGCAUACUAUCGAGGUGCUAUGGGCAUUUUGCUUGUGUAUGAUGUUACCGAUGAGUCAUCUUUUAAUAACAUAAGGAACUGGAUUCGGAACAUUGAGCAACAUGC